rnacentral:rRNA from 1 species
GACGAACGCUGGCGGCGUGCUUAACACAUGCAAGUCGAACGGAAAGGCUCCAGCUUGCUGGAGUACUCGAGUGGCGAACGGGUGAGUAACACGUGGGUAAUCUGCCCUGCACUCUGGGAUAAGCCUGGGAAACUGGGUCUAAUACUGGAUAUGACCUUUCUCCUUAUGGGGUUUGGUGGAAGGUUUUUCGGUGUAGGAUGAGCCCGCGGCCUAUCAGCUUGUUGGUGGGGUGAUGGCCUACCAAGGCGACGACGGGUAGCCGGCCUGAGAGGGUGAUCGGCCACAUUGGGACUGAGAUACGGCCCAGACUCCUACGGGAGGCAGCAGUGGGGAAUAUUGCACAAUGGGCGGAAGCCUGAUGCAGCGACGCCGCGUGAGGGAUGGCGGCCUUCGGGUUGUAAACCUCUUUCAGCAGGGACGAAGCGUAAGUGACGGUACCUGCAGAAGAAGCACCGGCUAACUAUGUG